UACGUAGGGGGCUAGCGUUGUCCGGAAUCAUUGGGCGUAAAGAGCGUGUAGGCGGUCCGGUAAGUCCGCUGUGAAAGUCGGGGGCUCAACCCUCGAAUGCCGGUGGAUACUGUCGGGCUAGACUGCGGAAGAGGCGAGUGGAAUUCCUGGUGUAGCGGUGAAAUGCGCAGAUAUCAGGAGGAACACCUAUUGCGAAGGCAGCUCGCUGGGACGUAACUGACGCUGAGACGCGAAAGCGUGGGGAGCAAACAGG
rnacentral:rRNA from 1 species